AAAUUACAAGUGGAAUAAAGUGGAAUAAAACAUAAUUUGUCAGACAGUUGUAAUAAAUAUCAACGAUUUUUUUCAUAGUCUUGAAAUGAUGUUCAAAUGUAUGAAAAAAAAAAAAAAAGGGAACACGCACUGCUUGGAAACAUCAAAUGAUUCGCCUUGCAUUGUAAAAAUGUCAGUGGAUGAGACUAAAGGUUAAAGUCUUUCGUGAAUUCUCUAAUAUUUAUCUUCAUUAUGCAUGCGCGAAAACAAUAACAAAUUGUCAUGUACACUUAUUGA